rnacentral:rRNA from 1 species
GACGAACGCUGGCGGCGUGCCUAAUACAUGCAAGUCGAGCGAUGAAGAUUGGUGCUUGCACCAAUUUGGAGAGCAGCGAACGGGUGAGUAACGCGUGGGGAAUCUGCCUUUGAGCGGGGGGCAACAUUGGGAAACGAAUGCUAAUACCGCAUAAGAACUUUAAACAUAAGGUGGAAGGGUGAAAGACGGAAUUGCAGCACGCAAAGACGAUCCCGCGUUGUGUUAGUGAGGUGGUGAGGUAAAGGCUCACCAAGGCGAUGAUACAUAGCAGCCCUGAGAGGGUGGGCAGCCACACUGGGACUGUGACACGGCCCAAAGUCCUUCGGGAGGCAGCCGUAGGGCAUCUUCGGCCAUGGGCGAAAGUCUGACCGAGCAACGCCGCGUCAGUGUAGAACGUCUUCGGGUCGUAAAUCUCUGUUGGUAGGGAAGAACGUUGGUGAGAGUGGAAAGCUCAUCAAGUGACGGUAACUACUAAGAAAGGGACGGCUAACUACGUG